rnacentral:rRNA from 1 species
AACGAACGCUGGCGGCAGGCCUAACACAUGCAAGUCGAACGUGAAGCCACCUUCGGGUGGUGGACAGUGGCAGACGGGUGAGUAACGCGUGGGAACGUGCCUUUCGGUUCGGGAUAACCCAGGGAAACUUGGGAUAAUACCGGAUACGCCCUCAGGGGGAAAGAUUCAUUGCCGAAAGCUCGGCCCGCGUCGGAUUAGCUAGUGGGUGGGGUAAAAGCCCACCAAGGUGACGAUCCGUAGCGGGUCUGAGAGGAUGUCCAGGCACACUGGGACUGAGACACGGCCCAGACGCCUACGGGAGGCAGCAGUGGUGAAUAUUGCGCAAUGGGCGCAAGCCUGAUCCAGCCAUGCCGCGUGGGUGAAGAAGGCCCUAGGGUUGUAAACCCCUUUCAGCGGGGAAGAUAAUGACGGUACCCGCAGAAGAAGCCCCGGCUAACUCCGUGCCAGCCGCCGCCGUAACAC